rnacentral:rRNA from 1 species
CGAGACCUACAAGUCGAGCAGGGUCGAAAGACGGACUUAGUGAUCCGGUGGUUCCGCAUGGAAGGGCCAUCGCUCAACGGAUAAAAGCUACCCCGGGGAUAACAGGCUUAUCUCCCCCAAGAGUUCACAUCGACGGGGAGGUUUGGCACCUCGAUGUCGGCUCAUCGCAUCCUGGGGCUGUAGUCGGUCCCAAGGGUUGGGCUGUUCGCCCAUUAAAGCGGUACGCGAGCUGGGUUCAGAACGUCGUGAGACAGUUCGGUCCCUAUCCGUCGUGGGCGUAGGAAAUUUGAGAGGAGCUGUCCUUAGUACGAGAGGACCGGGAUGGACAUACCUCUGGUGUACCAGUUGUCGUGCCAACGGCAUAGCUGGGUAGCUAUGUAUGGACGGGAUAAGUGCUGAAAGCAUCUAAGCAUGAAGCCCCCCUCAAGAUGAGAUUUCCCAACUUCGGUUAUAAGAUCCCUCAAAGAUGAUGAGGUUAAUAGGUUCGAGGUGGAAGCGUAGCGAUACGUGGAGCUGACGAAUACUAAUCGAUCGAAGACUUAAUCAAUUU